rnacentral:rRNA from 1 species
UACGGGGGGGGCAAGCGUUGUUCGGAAUUACUGGGCGUAAAGGGCUCGUAGGCGGCCCACUAAGUCAGACGUGAAAUCCCCAGGCUCAACCUGGGAACUGCGUCUGAUACUGGAUGGCUUGAAUUCGGGAGAGGGAUGCAGAAUUCCAGGUGUAGCGGUGAAAUGCGUAGAUAUCUGGAGGAAUACCGGUGGCGAAGGCGGCAUCCUGGACCGACAUUGACGCUGAGGAGCGAAAGUGUGGGGAGCGAACAGG